CCCUGUGGCUCAGUUGGUAGAGCAUGGUGUGUGCAACGCCAGGAUUGUGGGUUUGAUUCCCACAGGGG
rnacentral:tRNA from 1 species